CGUGAGGAGUAACAGCUGCGAGCCAGGAAUUUGGGUUGGAGACACUAUAAAUAUCGAAAACAACAUGUACACUUGAUACAUCCAUUUUGCGUCAACCGAAUUCUAACUCGUCAACACUGAUAAAACUUCCCCAACUAUUCUACAAUGAAGGUGUUCGUACUCCUCAUAGUUGCUGCACUGUUGCUCACUGCUACUCAAGCGGGACUGAGCAAGAGAAGAUACCCAACAAAUUGCCCAGACAGCGGUUGUGGCAAGUUGGCCGUCGGGUCGCAGUGCUUCAAUAGCCCGUCCUGCAGCACGGGAAAAUGUGAAGAUAGCAUUUGCGUUGAGUAGAGUGAACUACCACGACGGGAUGCAUUCGUGACAAUAUUAUUACACUCUUGAUGUUAGCGCAAGCAAUAAAAAUAUUCUGAUCAGAA